AGUUGAUCCUAGCUCAGAUUGAACGCUGGCGGCAGGCUUAACACAUGCAAGUCGAGCGGGGAAAUGUAGCUUGCUACAUUACCUAGCGGCGGACGGGUGAGUAAUGCUUAGGAAUCUGCCUAUUAGUGGGGGGACAACAUCUCGAAAGGGAUGCUAAUACCGCAUACGUCCUACGGGAGAAAGCAGGGGACCUUCGGGCCUUGCGCUAAUAGAUGAGCCUAAGUCGGAUUAGCUAGUUGGUGGGGUAAAGGCCUACCAAGGCGACGAUCUGUAGCGGGUCUGAGAGGAUGAUCCGCCACACUGGGACUGAGACACGGCCCAGACUCCUACGGGAGGCAGCAGUGGGGAAUAUUGGACAAUGGGGGGAACCCUGAUCCAGCCAUGCCGCGUGUGUGAAGAAGGCCCUUUUGGUUGUAAAGCACUUUAAGCGAGGAGGAGGCUACCGAGAUUAAUACUCUUGGAUAGUGGACGUUACUCGCAGAAUAAGCACCGGCUAACUCUGUGCCAGCAGCAGC
rnacentral:rRNA from 1 species